UGGGGAAUUUUGGACAAUGGGCGCAAGCCUGAUCCAGCCAUGCCGCGUGCAGGAUGAAGGCCUUCGGGUUGUAAACUGCUUUUGUACGGAACGAAACGGCCUUUUCUAAUAAAGAGGGCUAAUGACGGUACUGUAAGAAUAAGCACCGGCUAACUACGUGCCAG
rnacentral:rRNA from 1 species